rnacentral:tRNA from 1 species
GCUAUUUUAGUUUAAGAUUUAGAAUUUGACUUUGAUGGGGUUAAGGUUUAGAUAGUU